rnacentral:misc_RNA from 1 species
GAAUGAAGUUGAGUGGGGUUGUCGCUGGCCUCCGGGCAUGUGCACGCCUCGCUCGUCCACCCUUCUACACCUCUGUGCACUUCUCAUGGGUCGGGUUCUGCGCCUUCACGGGCUGCGUCCCUGCCUGUGUGUCUACAUACACAUGUUUGUUAUAGAAUGUCUAUUGUGCAUGAAUGCAUAUAAAUACAACUUUCAGCAACGGAUCUCUUGGCUCU